rnacentral:rRNA from 1 species
GACGAACGCUGGCGGCGUGCUUAACACAUGCAAGUCGAACGGAAAGGCCCUGCUUUUGUGGGGUGCUCGAGUGGCGAACGGGUGAGUAACACGUGAGUAACCUGCCCUUGACUUUGGGAUAACUUCAGGAAACUGGGGCUAAUACCGGAUAGGAGCUCCUGCUGCAUGGUGGGGGUUGGAAAGUUUCGGCGGUUGGGGCUGGACUCGCGGCUUAUCAGAUUGUUGGUGGGGUAGUGGCUUACCAAGGCUUUGAAGGGUAGCCGGCCUGAGAGGGUGAACGGCCACAUUGGGACUGAGUUAGGGACCAGAAUCCGACGGGAGGCAGCGGUGGGAAAUAUGACACAAUGAGGGGAAGCCUGAUGCAACAACGCCGCGUGCGGGAGGACGGCCUGCGGGUUGUAAACCGCUUUCGGCUGUGACGAAGCGUGAGUGACGGUAAUGGGUCAAGAAGCACCGGCUAACUACGUG